rnacentral:rRNA from 1 species
AUUGAACGCUGGCGGCAGGCUUAACACAUGCAAGUCGAGCGAACGGCGGACGGGUGAGUCAUGUCUUGGAAACUGCCUGAUGUAGGGGGAUAACUACUUGAAACGGUAGCUAAUACCGCAUACCAUCAGAUGUGCCCAGAUGGGAUUAGCUAGUCGGUGGGGUAAUGGCUCACCUAGGCGACGCUCCCUAGCUGGUCUGAGAGGAUGACCAGCCACACUGGAACUGAGACACGGUCCAGACUCCUACGGGAGGCAGCAGUGGGGAAUAUUGCACAAUGGGCGAAAGCCUGAUGCAGCCAUGCCGCGUGUGUGAAGAAGGUCUUCGGGUUGUAAAGCACUUUCAGCGAGGAGGCGGUACCUGAAGAAGAAGCACCGGCUAACUCCGUGCCAGCAGCCGCGGUAAUUC